GGCAAGGUGGCCGAGCGGUCUAAGGCGUCAGGUUAAGGUCACACCUUAAUAGACAGCUUCCGAGCUUCCUGAUCAUCGUAAGAUGGCGUGGGUUCGAAUCCCACCCUUGUCA
rnacentral:tRNA from 1 species